rnacentral:tRNA from 1 species
GGGGCGGUAGCUCAGCUGGGAGAGCGCCGCGUUCGCAAUGCGGAGGUCGAGGGUUCGAUCCCCUUCCGCUCCACCA